UCAGCUUGUUGGUGGGGUAAUGGCCUACCAAGGGCGACGACGGGUAGCCGGCCUGAGAGGGCGACCGGCCACACUGGGACUGAGACACGGCCCAGACUCCUACGGGAGGCAGCAGUGGGGAAUAUUGCACAAUGGGCGAAAGCCUGAUGCAGCGACGCCGCGUGAGGGAUGACGGCCUUCGGGUUGUAAACCUCUUUCAGCAGGGAAGAAGCGAGAGUGACGGUACCUGCAGAAGAAGCGCCGGCUAACUACGUGCCAGCAGCCGCGGUAAUACGUAGGGCGCAAGCGUUGUCCGGAAUUAUUGGGCGUAAAGAGCUCGUAGGCGGCUUGUCACGUCGGGUGUGAAAGCCCGGGGCUUAACCUUUUUUCUGCAUCCGAUACGGGCAGGCUAGAGUGUGGUAGGGGAGAUCGGAAUUCCUGGUGUAGCGGUGAAAUGCGCAGAUAUCAGGAGGGAACACCCGGUGGCUAAGGCGGAUCUCUGGGCCAUUACUGACGCUGAGGAAUCUAAUUCCGUGGGUAAUCAAAA
rnacentral:rRNA from 1 species